ACGCUAGCUACAGGCUUAACACAUGCAAGUCGAGGGGCAGCAUCAUCAAAGCUUGCUUUGAUGGAUGGCGACCGGCGCACGGGUGAGUAACACGUAUCCAACCUGCCGACAACACUGGGAUAGCCUUUCGAAAGAAAGAUUAAUACCGGAUGGCAUAGUUUUCCCGCAUGGGAUAAUUAUUAAAGAAUUUCGGUUGUCGAUGGGGAUGCGUUCCAUUAGGCAGUUGGCGGGGUAACGGCCCACCAAACCUACGAUGGAUAGGGGUUCUGAGAGGAAGGUCCCCCACAUUGGAACUGAGACACGGUCCAAACUCCUACGGGAGGCAGCAGUGAGGAAUAUUGGUCAAUGGACGAGAGUCUGAACCAGCCAAGUAGCGUGAAGGAUGACUACCCUAUGGGUUGUAAACUUCUUUUAUACGGGAAUAAAGUGAGCCACGUGUGGCUUUUUGUAUGUACCGUAUGAAUAAGGAUCGGCUAACUCCGUGCCAGCAGCCGCGGUAAUACGGAGGAUUCGAGCGUUAUCCGGAUUUAUUGGGUUUAAAGGGAGCGUAGGCGGGUUGUUAAGUCAGUUGUGAAAGUUUGCGGCUCAACCGUAAAAUUGCAGUUGAUACUGGCGACCUUGAGUGCAACAGAGGUAGGCGGAAUUCGUGGUGUAGCGGUGAAAUGCUUAGAUAUCACGAAGAACUCCGAUUGCGAAGGCAGCUUACUGGAUUGUAACUGACGCUGAUGCUCGAAAGUGUGGGUAUCAAACAGGAUUAGAUACCCUGGUAGUCCACACAGUAAACGAUGAAUACUCGCUGUUGGCGAUAUACAGUCAGCGGCCAAGCGAAAGCAUUAAGUAUUCCACCUGGGGAGUACGCCGGCAACGGUGAAACUCAAAGGAAUUGACGGGGGCCCGCACAAGCGGAGGAACAUGUGGUUUAAUUCGAUGAUACGCGAGGAACCUUACCCGGGCUUAAAUUGCAACUGACGGAACCGGAAACGGUUCUUUCUUCGGACAGUUGUGAAGGUGCUGCAUGGUUGUCGUCAGCUCGUGCCGUGAGGUGUCGGCUUAAGUGCCAUAACGAGCGCAACCCUUACGGGUAGUUACCAUCAGGUUAUGCUGGGGACUCUACCCGGACUGCCGUCGUAAGAUGUGAGGAAGGUGGGGAUGACGUCAAAUCAGCACGGCCCUUACGUCCGGGGCUACACACGUGUUACAAUGGGGGGUACAGAAGGCAGCUACACGGCGACGUGGUGCUAAUCCCAAAAGCCUCUCUCAGUUCGGAUUGGAGUCUGCAACCCGACUCCAUGAAGCUGGAUUCGCUAGUAAUCGCGCAUCAGCCACGGCGCGGUGAAUACGUUCCCGGGCCUUGUACACACCGCCCGUCAAGCCAUGAAAGCCGGGGGUACCUGAAGUACGUAACCGCGAGGAGCGUCCUAGGGUAAAACUGGUGA
rnacentral:rRNA from 1 species